rnacentral:rRNA from 1 species
GACGAACGCUGGCGGCGUGCCUAAUACAUGCAAGUCGAACGAACAGAUGAUGAGGUAGCUUGAUAGACGAUAGACGGGGAGGUGCGAACAGGAGGGGGACACGUUGGUAACCUGACUGGGAGCGGGUGGGGAAUACGGGGAAAGUACGGUAAUACCGCUUGAUCUUCAUGAUUGCAUGGUAAAAGAUGGAAAGGUGGAAAUGCAUAAAUAGAACAGGGCCGCAUUAGCUAGUUGGUAAGGUAACGGCUUACGAAGGAAACGAUGCGUAGCCGACCUGAGAGGGUGAUCGGCCACACUGGAACUGAGACACGGUCCAGACUCCUACGGGAGGCAGCAGUAGGGAAUCUUCCGCAAUGGGCGAAAGCCUGACGGAGCAACGCCGCGUGAGUGAUGAAGGUCUUCGGAUCGUAAACCUCUGUUAUUAGGGAAGACCAAAUGUGUAAGUAACUAUGCACGUCUUGACGGUACCUUAUCAGAAAGCCACGGCUAACUACGUG